rnacentral:tRNA from 1 species
GGAAAAGUGCCUGAAUAAAGGGUUACUUUGAUAGAGUAAAUAAUGAAUGCUAAGCCCGUUCCUUUUCCU